AAAUUGAAGAGUUUGAUCAUGGCUCAGAUUGAACGCUGGCGGCAGGCCUAACACAUGCAAGUCGAGCGGUAGCACAGAGAGCUUGCUCUCGGGUGACGAGCGGCGGACGGGUGAGUAAUGUCUGGGAAACUGCCUGAUGGAGGGGGAUAACUACUGGAAACGGUAGCUAAUACCGCAUAAUGUCGCAAGACCAAAGUGGGGGACCUUCGGGCCUCAUGCCAUCAGAUGUGCCCAGAUGGGAUUAGCUAGUAGGUGGGGUAACGGCUCACCUAGGCGACGAUCCCUAGCUGGUCUGAGAGGAUGACCAGCCACACUGGAACUGAGACACGGUCCAGACUCCUACGGGAGGCAGCAGUGGGGAAUAUUGCACAAUGGGCGCAAGCCUGAUGCAGCCAUGCCGCGUGUGUGAAGAAGGCCUUCGGGUUGUAAAGCACUUUCAGCGGGGAGGAAGGCGGUGAGGUUAAUAACCUCAUCGAUUGACGUUACCCGCAGAAGAAGCACCGGCUAACUCCGUGCCAGCAGCCGCGGUAAUACGGAGGGUGCAAGCGUUAAUCGGAAUUACUGGGCGUAAAGCGCACGCAGGCGGUCUGUCAAGUCGGAUGUGAAAUCCCCGGGCUCAACCUGGGAACUGCAUUCGAAACUGGCAGGCUAGAGUCUUGUAGAGGGGGGUAGAAUUCCAGGUGUAGCGGUGAAAUGCGUAGAGAUCUGGAGGAAUACCGGUGGCGAAGGCGGCCCCCUGGACAAAGACUGACGCUCAGGUGCGAAAGCGUGGGGAGCAAACAGGAUUAGAUACCCUGGUAGUCCACGCCGUAAACGAUGUUGAUUUGGAGGUUGUGCCCUUGAGGCGUGGCUUCCGGAGCUAACGCGUUAAAUCGACCGCCUGGGGAGUACGGCCGCAAGGUUAAAACUCAAAUGAAUUGACGGGGGCCCGCACAAGCGGUGGAGCAUGUGGUUUAAUUCGAUGCAACGCGAAGAACCUUACCUGGUCUUGACAUCCACAGAACUUUCCAGAGAUGGAUUGGUGCCUUCGGGAACUGUGAGACAGGUGCUGCAUGGCUGUCGUCAGCUCGUGUUGUGAAAUGUUGGGUUAAGUCCCGCAACGAGCGCAACCCUUAUCCUUUGUUGCCAGCGGUUCGGCCGGGAACUCAAAGGAGACUGCCAGUGAUAAACUGGAGGAAGGUGGGGAUGACGUCAAGUCAUCAUGGCCCUUACGACCAGGGCUACACACGUGCUACAAUGGCAUAUACAAAGAGAAGCGACCUCGCGAGAGCAAGCGGACCUCAUAAAGUAUGUCGUAGUCCGGAUUGGAGUCUGCAACUCGACUCCAUGAAGUCGGAAUCGCUAGUAAUCGUAGAUCAGAAUGCUACGGUGAAUACGUUCCCGGGCCUUGUACACACCGCCCGUCACACCAUGGGAGUGGGUUGCAAAAGAAGUAGGUAGCUUAACCUUCGGGAGGGCGCUUACCACUUUGUGAUUCAUGACUGGGGUGAAGUCGUAACAAGGUAACCGUAGGGGAACCUGCGGUUGGAUCACCUCCUUA
rnacentral:rRNA from 1 species